rnacentral:piRNA from 1 species
CGGAGAAUCACUGAGAGCUGCUACCG